AUGCGUAAACUAUUCGAACUCUAUAUGCUAUUAUCAAACUUGUGUGCUCACCUUUACAUUUUAAGUAUUGACUUUAUUUUAACGUAUGUGACAGGUGUUUAGGAUGCAUUCUUGCUAGGGGAGCGAGGCUAGAAUAAAGCUCUAGAGGCCAAUAAAUAGUUGUAGGUAGUGGUCUACCUAGGGGUCUCUAGAAGCCGAUGAACAACUGCCAUGGAGCCGUUGGAUUUGUCUGAUCAGGGGUCUAUGGCAUUAGCUGUCUGUAGAUCUUGUCCAGAUAGGUCUUAGUGACUUCAAGCAGUACUUUAUUCAUUUGGUUUGUAAUAAUUGAAUCUGAGUUGUCGGAACGGAAUUAUUUGCCUAGUUGCUUUCUAUGAUAACUUGUUUAUUUAUUUGGGAUACGGUAUGGGACGUAUCAUUUAACUGAAUUUGUAAUAAUAGUUGUUGUGGAAACUUCUGGA
rnacentral:lncRNA from 1 species